rnacentral:misc_RNA from 1 species
UCUCCGUUGGUGAACCAGCGGAGGGAUCAUUACUGGAAUCGCAAGAUCCCACAACCCCUGUGAACCUACCGAAACGUUGCCUCGGCGGGCGCCCGGCCCUGCGUCGGGCGCUGAGCCCGCCGGCGGCCCCCUACUCUUGUCUCUGCAGCGUGGCAUCUCAGAGUCCCAGAAAACAAGUAAAAACUUUCAACAACGGAUCUCUUGGCUCUA